UAUAAGUUUCUAUUUAUUCUUUCCAUAAUGUCUUUCAUUGCAUGUAUUAACAGUAGUUUAAUUGUCUACAACCCAAUCUACAACAUCUCAAACUGUCUCUUCCUCAUUCUCGAACGAAGGGUAAGGGUCGGCAUGUUUAGAGUCUUCAUUCUUUAUUGAAUUUUUCAGUCUCCUGUGUUGUAAUUGUUGUUUACACAAGCCAUCACCAAUUUUCCCAGAUUCCAGAUUUUACCCUUAACACUAGUUAUGCAUGACAUUAUUCUUAUUUAAUGCAACCUACUCAGUUAAUAGUUGUUACAAUAGUUUGUUGAGAUCCUGAAAUAUAAAUCUACAUUUUUUUUCUCGACCAUUUCUAGAAGUAGAAUUAAUUUGCUGCUGAAUUUAACACCAUCAUCUCACCCAUGAGUACCUUUUGUAGAUUCCACUUGGUUGCAAGAAUUCAAGGUAGAUCUCUAGCCUGAGGAUUACUCCCUUCCUUUUUCAUAUGGGAUUUGAAUCUCCUAAGCUGUUAACGAGCACUAGUCUUUCCCCUCUAAGCUAUGAAAAAAAAA